ACCAGAGUGUCAUAGUGGUUUGAGUGUUGGACUACAACUCUGGAGACUGGGGUUCGAUUCCCCAAUUAGCCA